CGAGUUCAAGCCGAAGCUUUGAUCUUGUGUUAUGGGAUGCACAGCCUGCCAGUCUUGUCUGCAUCAUUUGCAUCAUAGCAUGUUUAUUUUCAAAAAGAUACGCAGUAAAAAAAAAGAAUUGAAAAAAAAUGAAAAAGAAAAAGAAAAGAAAAAGAAAAGAAAAAGCUAAUCUAUGCAUGCAUAUCAUUUCUCAGGUUCAUUCAGGAGUUCGGUUCACUGAUAGAGAUGGCAACAGUCCCAGAGUUGAAGCGGAAGACUUGCACUUACAUUUUUCACCGUGAG
rnacentral:lncRNA from 1 species